UUAAGUAGAAAAGAGCGCACGGAGGAUGCCUUGGCACUAGGAGCCGAAGAAGGACGUGACAAACGACGAAACGCUACGGAGAGAAGUAAGUAAUCAAUGACCCGUAGAUAUCCGAAUGGGGGAACCCGGCACGAGUAGAAACGUGUCACACCGAAAGGUGAGGGAACGCAGAGAACUGAAACAUCUAAGUACCUGCAGGAAAAGAAAGAAAAAUCGAUACCCUAAGUAGCGGCGAGCGAAAAGGGAAGAGCCCAAACCAAUGAGCAUGCUCAUUGGGGUAGAAGGACUAUCAACAAAAGGCAAGAAGAAGUAUAGUAGAAUCGCAUGGGAAGGCGAGUCAAAGAAGGUAAGAACCCUGUAUACGAAAUGCUUAAGAAGCCCAAGAUAGCACCUGAGUACAACGGAACACGAGGAAUUCCGUUGGAAUCUGCGAGGACCAUCUCGCAAGGCUAAACACUACCUAGUGACCGAUAGUGAACCAGUACCGUGAGGGAAAGGUGAAAAGAACCCCGGGAGGGGAGUGAAAGAGAACCUGAAACCGUGUGCUUACAAGUAGUCAGAGCAUCAAAAGAUGUGAUGGCGUGCCUUUUGUAGAAUGAACCGGCGAGUUACUUUAUCAUGCAAGGUUAAGUGGGAGACACGGAGCCGCAGCGAAAGCGAGUCUUAAUAGGGCGAAUAAGUAUGAUGGAGUAGACCCGAAACCAAGUGAUCUACCCAUGGCCAGGUUGAAGUUUAGGUAACACUGAAUGGAGGACCGAACCAGGACACGUUGAAAAGUGUUUGGAUGAGCUGUGGGUAGCGGAGAAAUUCCAAUCGAACUUGGAAAUAGCUGGUUCUCUCCGAAAUAGCUUUAGGGCUAGCCUCGUUAAGAGUUUAUUGGAGGUAGAGCACUGUUUGAACUAGGGGUCCAUCCCGGAUUACCGAAUUCAGACAAACUCCGAAUGCCAAAUAAAUAUAAACGGGAGUCAGACUACGGGUGAUAAGGUUCGUGGUCGAAAGGGAAACAGCCCAGAUCGCCAGCUAAGGUCCCAAAUUGUAUGUUAAGUGGAAAAGGAUGUGAUAUUGCACAGACAACCAGGAUGUUGGCUUAGAAGCAGCCACCAUUCAAAGAGUGCGUAAUAGCUCACUGGUCGAGUGACAUCGCGCCGAAAAUGUACCGGGGCUAAACAUACAACCGAAGCUGCGGAUAUAACGCAAGUUAUAUGGUAGGAGAGCGUUCUAACAGCACAGAAGCCAAAUUGGAAGAUAAGGUGGAGCAGUUAGAAGUGAGAAUGCCGGUGUGAGUAGCGAAAGAUAGGUGAGAAUCCUAUCCACCGAAAGACUAAGGUUUCCAGAGGAAGGCUCGUCCGCUCUGGGUAAGUCGGGACCUAAGGUGAAUCCGAUAGGAGAAGCCGAUGGACAACAGGUAGAAAUUCCUGUACCACCGAAAAUCGAUAUAGAGAAGUGGGGACAGAGGAAGUUAGGCAAUCGUACUGAUGGAAUAGUACGUCCAAGCGUAAAGUGAGCGAAGUAGGCAAAUCCGCUAAGCAAAAUCAUGAAACGUUAAGGGGAGUGAAAUUAAAGUAACGAAGUUGUUGAAACUAAACUCUCAAGAAAAGCCGCUAUCAAGAUUAAGGUGCCCGUACCGCAAACCGACACAGGUAGUUGGGAAGAGAAUUCUAAGGUGAGCGAGAGAACCAUCGUUAAGGAACUCGGCAAAAUGACCCCGUAACUUCGGGAGAAGGGGUGCCAUAGAGAUAUGGCCGCAGUGAAUAGGCCCAAGCGACUGUUUAUCAAAAACACAGGUCUCUGCAAAACCGUAAGGUGAAGUAUAGGGGCUGACGCCUGCCCGGUGCUGGAAGGUUAAGAGGAGUGCUUAGCGCAAGCGAAGGUAUGAAUUGAAGCCCCAGUAAACGGCGGCCGUAACUAUAACGGUCCUAAGGUAGCGAAAUUCCUUGUCGGGUAAGUUCCGACCCGCACGAAAG
rnacentral:rRNA from 1 species